rnacentral:rRNA from 1 species
GGUUGACCUCGGAUCAGGUAGGGAUACCCGCUGAACUUAGGCAUAUCAAUAAGCGGAGGAA